rnacentral:rRNA from 1 species
AGUGAACGCUGGCGGUGGGCCUAACACAUGCAAGUCGAACGGCAGCACAGUAAGAGCUUGCCCCUACGGGUGGCGAGUGGCGGACGGGUGAGGAAUACAUCGGCAUCUUCUUUUUCGUGGGGGAUAACGUAGGGACACUUCCGCUAAUACCUCAUACGACCUACGGGUGAAAUCAGGGGAUCUUCGGACCUUGCGCGAUUGUAUGAGCCGAUGUCGGAUUAGCUAGUUGGCGGGGUAAAGGCACACCAAGGCGACGAUCCGUAGCUGGUCUGAGAGGAUGAUCAGCCACACUGGAACUGAGACACGGUCCAGACUCCUACGGGAGGCAGCAGUGGGGAAUAUUGGACAAUGGGCGCAAGCCUGAUCCAGCCAUACCGCGUGGGUGAAGAAGGCCUUCGGGUUGUAAAGCCCUUUUGUUGGGAAAGAAAAGCAGCAGGUGAAUACCCCGCUGUUCUGACGGUACCCAAAGAAUAAGCACCGGCUAACUUCGUG